ensembl:lncRNA
AUGUACUCUUUACCAAUCCUGUUUAAUUAUUGAUGAGCAAAAUUGUUAUAUUAAUAUAACAAUUUAUAUUGCUGUGACGUCUCCGCAAGCGCCAGACUGUUUUGUAGAUUUGACGAACAUUAUCACCUGUCCCUGGACACUGCAACAACCAUUCCCCUAGAACACAUUGCAUUCAGAACCCGAUACCACUCAUGAAAGGUGCAGUUCGCGGUCAUUUACUAUUCAAUAACAUCUUAGUCUAAACAAUAGGGCCCACGGACUAUGCAAAUAUGAGUUUUGAAGGCCAUGAACAGAAUUUCUGGGGUAGACAAGUAGAGUCCAGGGCGUGAAUACCAGUGCAAAGCAAAGCAUCUGCAAUGUUUUGAAGCUUGGAGUAGCAAAUCUGAUCACACUGGGUCAUCUUAUCAUGUGUUGUGCAGGGUCCUCCCACUAAGUCCGGAGUGAACACAGAUGUGGAUCAGAGGGGAUGUGCAGCAGCAGCAGGUCUGGUCUGUCCACUGUACGAUGUGACAAACACAAAAGUAGAGCCAAGGUCACACAGAAGGAGAGUGACAUGCACACUGUACAUCUGAAUAACUUGAAUGUAAGUAAUAACGGGUCUUUAACCUAUGAGGUCCACCAUCUAUGUCUCCACUCUCCAGUAACUUGAACGGUUUACCAAUGCCAAUUUCUAUUUUUAACGCCUCAGUUUACUGUCACUGUUGUUGUAACCGGUGCUGCCGUCUGUGUCUCCCAUGCUGUGGAACCAGCUGGGGCCCUCGGAUGACUCACAGUCGCCGCAAACAGAAACAGAAACACAGUGCCCUCAGAUGGUGUCGAGCGGCAACUGAUGACUUGGUGCACGACAACGUUCACGUGUCCAAUUGUGUGACAAAUAGUGCGUUUGCUCAACUGUACUGAUCAUCACAGAACAAGCAGACAGCAAACAGCAGAGAUCAGAGGAGACUGAAGGACUUUCACUGCCCUCUUCCUGACAUUAUGCUGUGAGUUCACUCAGUGCUCAUUCUUAAACACAUCAAAUACUUCUAUUUGGUUGUUCUUUACAGCGUAUCAAUGCGGUUUCUUGGCUCUUCUUACAGAGUAAAAUGUACAAACAUGGGUUUACACCACAUCACUGAUAAAAUACGCCUCUUAUCUCCCCAUUUUAUAUUCUUUCUGGCCAGGCUGCACAUGCAUCACUACCCGCAGGGGGAAAACUCAUGCAGUGCAUGCUGUCUUUUAUUCUCAUUCCCAAAUCCAUAAAGAUCAUCCAUAUAAAUGCAGUUUGAUAUGAGAUGCAAUUUUAUAUAUAAACUUUAGGCUGCAAUAUACUGCACUUUAUGUGCUAAGAACAAGAGUGACAUUACUAUUAAUUGAGAACUAACAUGCAGAGGCGAUAUUCUUUGCCUAAUUUACUUAUAUGAGAAUUUAAUUAAUUAACAACAAUUAAUAUAAAUGAGUCUAAUUAUGUUAAUGCAAAUUGAUCCAAUUAAACACACCGACUAAUUCCCUGAAAUGGAGGCUUCAGGACAGAUACUCCUGCUAUCUGUAUUCUGUCCUCUGUAUGGGGGGGAAAAAAGAAAAAUUAAAUAAGCAGGUCAUUCCAAAUGCCAACAGGGUGAAAUACAUUAGUUUAUAUCCAAGCUGAAAAUCUAUCCCAUAACCAUAAAUGGCAUUUCAGGCCUCAAAAUCACUUCAUGUAAUAAUAAGACCUGUAUUUCACUUACAGCACCGUCCUAACCACAGGGUUUUACCAAUGGGUGGCGGUAAUAGGAGCUUUAAAUGUAUAAUACGAGUGUAUGUGAGCACUGCUGGUCUCAGGUUGGACAGGACAUCAACACGCUGCUGUGAGGCAGACGGGGAGUGAUUGACAGCCUGAGACAACAAGCACCAGUUUUCUUCUACACUGCAGAAUAAAUGUCACUCAGUCUGUAUAGUAUAUGUCAGUCGGACAUAUUGAGGGUAAUACCUUUCAUGAAAUAAAGGGGGAAAAAACACAGCUAUGUAGUUUUUCCACGUUGGGUUGUGCAAAACAGACAGCUGCUGUGACACAGUUGUACAAUGUGUAAGUAACUUAGUAUGUUGCUUAUUGAUGAUGCAAUUUUGCAAUAGAAUAGUUCUUCUGUAUUUUUCUACUCGUCUUUAUUAUAUAUAUAUAUAUAUAUAUAUAUAUAGACCAAAAACUGACUGUUAGGGGCUCAUUCAUGGCCACAGUAAGUGCCAUGUGUCUGACUUGAUGGGCUUUUAGUAUUUUUCACCAGCAGUUCACAUUCACCAUUAAGUCAGUCAAGGCAAGCCAGAGUUGAAAAUGAAUACAGCUCAAUGUUUCCACUUGCUGUUGAAGAAGUCU